rnacentral:tRNA from 1 species
GGGACCGUAGCUCAGCGGGAGAGCGCUCGCCUCACACGCGAGAGGUCACUGGUUCAAUCCCAGUCGGUCCCACCA